rnacentral:rRNA from 1 species
AGUGAACGCUGGCGGUAGGCCUAACACAUGCAAGUCGAACGGCAGCACAGUAAGAGCUUGCUCUUACGGGUGGCGAGUGGCGGACGGGUGAGGAAUACAUCGGAAUCUACUUUUUCGUGGGGGAUAACGUAGGGAAACUUACGCUAAUACCGCAUACGACCUUCGGGUGAAAGCAGGGGAUCUUCGGACCUUGCGCGAUUGAAUGAGCCGAUGUCGGAUUAGCUAGUUGGCGGGGUAAAGGCCCACCAAGGCGACGAUCCGUAGCUGGUCUGAGAGGAUGAUCGGCCACACGGGAACUGAGACACGGUCCAGACUCCUACGGGAGGCAGCAGUGGGGAAUAUUGGACAAUGGGCGCAAGCCUGAUCCAGCCAUACCGCGUGGGUGAAGAAGGCCUUCGGGUUGUAAAGCCCUUUUGUUGGGAAAGAAAAGCAGCAGGUUAAUACCACGCUGUUCUGACGGUACCCAAAGAAUAAGCACCGGCUAACUUCGUG